CCCCGUUCCACCCCCCUGAGCCCCACUGUCUCUUUGGCAGCUGUCCUGGACCUUCUGGACACUCGGCAGCCAACUCCUUUCAGCAUGUCAGUCUACCGAUCUAGGACCAAAAUACUGUUUUCAAGGCUUCAAGUUCAGAUUUGCCAGGUACCAAAGGUAUUUCAUCACCCCCUCCAGUUCCUAGCCCACUCCAUCCCAGACUAAGCAAUGCUAAACAUCACUUUCAAGCUGUGGUAAUGAUCUCCUCACAUUAACUAAUUGCUGAGAAUGUUUCUACCACCAUAAGAAAAAAUGCCAGUGAAUGACCAAGAACUGAAAAACCUUACACAUUGAUUAGGA